rnacentral:other from 1 species
AAAUAUCUGGGGUGCCCGAUAACUCCUGCGUAUUUUGAACCUACAUAUUUUUGAAGGGAACUUAAUAUCGUGCAGUGGAUGAUAUGCCUCCUCGAGUGGACAUCAGAAGCUUCAUUGCAAGUACCCACCUAGCUUUAGCUAGGAGUCAAAAAGUAGGAGCCGGCAUCUUGGAUAUUUA